CAAAAGUCAAAAGUCCAAGAAUCGGACAACGGCAAGUUUUGGAUUGGCGCCGAGCAGCAGCAAUUAUCCUACGGCUAAUUAAUCAAUAUGUAACAUAUUUAUAAGUUAAUACAACUUACAGCUCUUCAUUGUUAUAAAUCGAAAGUCUAACGUUUUAACUUCUAUAUACUGAUGAGCUCACAUCCAUUCUUUCAGUGUAUGCAGGAAGCAUGAAGUUAGUUUGUGUAUGUGCGAGCCGAAAUUCCCGCCUCAUUCCGGAGGACGUGGCAACCGGAUCCGGAGAUAAUGCCAACAAUCAGAAACACGCUCUAAGCGCGCUUUGCCCAAUGAGGCGCAACAAAAAGCGAGGGCAAACAUGAAGCUGGGUAACCAGACGCAUUGGGAUAACACUGCCCUUUUGAUGUCCUGCAAUCUAGUUAUAAAUUGGAUUAAAUUCAAGCGAAACAAGGAGCCAUUAAAAAAAAAGGUUGAGUGUAAAUUGUAAAGCUCGCAACUGAUGAUGGCCAAUUACCACGCUUAUUGGCAACCAACCACUUGCGCUGUAACGGCGAUGGAUUUGCAUGUGCAGCGGCCGUGGCGCAGCCCAUCAAU
ensembl:ncRNA lncRNA:CR46156 long non-coding RNA:CR46156